GAUAACUCAAGAUGGUGAACAUAAUUAAUACACCUUCCUACUCCUAUUUUUCCAACAUCAGCAACCAUCUGAGGAUAUUGGCAUGCUGGCUACUCCCAUAAGAAGUCAAGGUGGUAUACAGAAAUCAAGGAAGAACAGAAGAAAGGCAAUGCAAGCAAAUCCUGAAUCAUUAUAAAACAGUACAUGGAGGACUGAAGUAUUUUAAAAAAAUUCCAAAAAGUAAAAGUGAAACAAAA